UGUCGUCAGCUCGUGUUGUGAAAUGUUGGGUUAAGUCCCGCAACGAGCGCAACCCUUAUCCUUUGUUGCCAGCGGUCCGGCCGGGAACUCAAAGGAGACUGCCAGUGAUAAACUGGAGGAAGGUGGGGAUGACGUCAAGUCAUCAUGGCCCUUACGACCAGGGCUACACACGUGCUACAAUGGCGCAUACAAAGAGAAGCGACCUCGCGAGAGCAAGCGGACCUCAUAAAGUGCGUCGUAGUCCGGAUUGGAGUCUGCAACUCGACUCCAUGAAGUCGGAAUCGCUAGUAAUCGUGGAUCAGAAUGCCACGGUGAAUACGUUCCCGGGCCUUGUACACACCGCCCGUCACACCAUGGGAGUGGGUUGCAAAAGAAGUAGGUA
rnacentral:rRNA from 1 species